UCAGAUCCCAGACACUGAAGCAAGGGGGCUUUUGGAGUAGAGAAAAGGCGGGAAGGAGGAGAGCGACUGUGUUCAUCUGAAGGAUAAAUGGGAGGAAAGGCCCAGAAACCCGGUAAUGCAGGCGGAUGGCAGAGUGGCAGGUGGCAGCUCUGUAGACAUCAGCUCACCUGGCACACACCACGUGCACCUCCAGGAUGUGCUGGCUACUGCACUGGGCAUGGGGAGAGAUGGCCACGCGUGAGGUCCAUAGAGGCUUCUGGAACUUACAGCGCGGCUGGGGCCCCACACAGAGCUACCCAGGUGGGGGUGGGGCUGUGACAGCUGUCCGCCUUUCUGAGUGGGGCGAGGUGACAGGAGUAGUCAGAAACAGUGUUCCAGAGGUAGGAACAGCAUGUGUGAGGGACCCAGCGGAGCCAGCGACAGCCCAGCCCCCUACUCGAGCGAGCCCCGCCGGGGUAGGUCCCAGAGGCACAGGGCUGUGGGGGCUCAGUGAAGGUGGGUGGUGCUCCAUGAAGUCACCAGGUGGCUGGGCCAGGCCCUGUGAGCUCCUGGCCCAUGGGCAGAAGUCAGGCUCACCUGCAUGGUGGAAGUAGUUGGUGGAUACAGCUGGGUUUGCAUUUUACAGGCCUCUGUCGGCGUGAUAAAGGGCCUUCUGCAGGCCAGGGUCGGCUGGUGGGUCAGAGAUGGAGGUCACCUGGGAGACAGUCAGGGCCCAAGCCUGGCCACACGGGCAGAAAGCCCGAGAAGCGUCGGGUGUCAGGUGUCCCAGAUUCUGCAGAUUCUCCCUUUGGACGUUUCCACCCAAACAUGCCGCGUGGAAGCUGCCUUCAUCCAGGCAACGGGCCUUGGCGGUGCUCCAGGAGCCUGCUGUUCCAUAGCAAACAGGCCUGAAAACCCAGGCCGGAACUCCUUUUUGAAAACAAGUGGGAAAAAAUAAACAAACUGUAAAGAAUUCUGCUGAGACAGCGAGCACAGCACUGGGACGGGACCCCAGUGUGCAGGUCACCCUGGAAGGAACCAGAAGGGAGGGGGGACCUGGGACCGACAGGAUUCUCCUUCAAGACCUCCUGCCUUGCAGAGCAAGUCAGCAACACUCUGGAGGCUGAGACCCACCUGGCCGCUGUAUGCUCUGGGCCUGCUGGGGGCUGAGGCUGAGGAGGGUGAAGCUGCUUUCUUCAAUGCACCAUCACGGACAUGGAGAGGCCAGUGCUGUGGCAGCGUUUCCAAAUUAGCUUGACCCACAGGGCACCCCCAGGAACCCCUACCAAACGCCCCCACCUCAUGAGGAGCGUGCCCCCCAUGCACGGCCAGGGAUGCGCUUUGGGAUCUCAGAACGGUGACAGCAAAGCCUACCUCGGAAGAAUCCGGUUUACAGGGCCCUUCCACGCACUCAGAGGACUCGGGCGCCACCAAGUGGCCAUCGUGGGGACGUCAACGGCCGGGGCCGCACAUCCUCCG
rnacentral:lncRNA from 1 species